GGAGGAAUCACAUGGAGCAAGUUAGGUUUGCUCUGAUUGAAGGCCCUGAAACGGUAUCUGAGAUUGUGAGGAUGUUAUCAGGAAGGAGGCUGUGAAGUGGGGCUCAAUCUCAGAGCCAGAGAGAUUUAGAGGAUGAAAAGUCAGAAUCUUUAAAAUUUUCAUGACCUGAAAAAAUCCAGAAUUGAUUCAGGUGCCCCCAACAACAGCAGUCUGACCCCAUGGACCAUGAACUCCCACACCCACCUUCUCCACAUUUCAUUGAGUGGCGUUGUAACCUAGCACGCUGUCACAGUGCCACUCAGGUUUGGCCCAGCCACCCCUCUGUCAUGAUGAACUUUGGUUAGGCCAAACUGGAGUGAGCACCAUUGAAGUGUGAUCUGGCUAAAAAGUGAUCAGGUCAAGGCCCAUGUGCCUCCCUGGCACUGUGGCUUAUGAUUUGUUACACUUAGAAUCUAACCAGAUUACACAUAUCAGCCACUCAGCAGAGGGGUGAUGCUAGUCUCAGAAUGGGACAUUUAGUCAGAUGAAUGGUGGCAAUAUUGAUCAGAUAUUCUCUCAGCUCUAUGAGGGGCAAAUAAUGAGUUGGGAGGGGGGCGAGGGGGGAAGAGAAGCUGGAUAACUUAUUUUAAAAAUAUAGUGAAAUUUAUUAAAUUGACACAAAUGAUUAGACAGGUUGCAUCACUUAAUGACUAAAAUAAACUCACCAAUGGCCUGAUCUUUCCUGAUGCUGCCAAUCUUCUGCUACCAGUCGUUUUAAUGAAAAUUGUGGAUCUCGAUGCGCUGUGGUCUAAAAGCCUGAUUCCUGCCAAUGACUCUGAAUAUGUGGCCUCCCUGUGUUCAUAUAGACCCCACUGAAGUUAAUAGGGUGCUGUGAAGGUGCAGGGUCUACCCGAGCAUAGCCAUUUGAAAAUUAUUAGAGCUCUCCAUAAUUGGGAAGAUAUCUACUUGCAUGUAUUACACAUGUGAACGUUUAAGCUUAUUGUCAGUACUGCAAUGAUUAUUGUAAUUAUAAUUAUCAAUAGCACCAUGUUUCUAAUACUCCACCCUUUUCUCAGGGGUUAACAUUUCUUAGAUCAGAAAGCUAAGCUGGUCUUUCCUUUAGGCCAGACUCUUUGAUCCAAGGUUUGGAGCUCAUCCUUUGAGAUGUUUUCACAAAUGUAGGUACACACCACUAAUACGCUGCAAAGCUUGAUUGAAUCUGUUUGCGCCACAAGUUUAAAUAGACUGUGUUGAAAGCAUUUUUUUCAUUUAAACAAAGACAAGGUGAAACAAUAGACUACUAUAGCAAGAUAGGCAAAAGAACAAGAGGGAAACUGCAGGGCAGUUUAACUUUUUUAUUGCUGCUUUUGGGAUAAGUAAUCAAGCAAAAGAAUAUUAAUUUUCUUAAGAAUGGAGGUCUGCUUGAAAGUUUCAAGUAUGCACAGCUGGCAGUUUAUGGGUUUUGUAACAUUUGUAAAGAUCUUCAUUUGUGCCAGGCCAUCAGAGGAAGCGACUGAAAUGAAGAGAAACAAUACCAUUUUGUAAUUGAAGUGAAUUUUACAUAUUGCGGCACUGUAUAAUAUGUCCUGGUAAUGUGAGAACCCAAACAAAAAAUAAGAUUACAAAUUUCCACC